UCUUAUCAAGAGUGGUGGAGGGACUGGCCCUGUGAAACCCAGCAACCUGUAAUAAGAUAUUUAGGCUUAUUUUAUAUGCUUAAAAAUAAUCUUAUUAAGUUUGGUGCUAAAUCCUGCAGCUUUUAGCUGAUAGAUGAGA
rnacentral:ncRNA from 1 species